rnacentral:tRNA from 1 species
UGCAUCGGCCGGGAAUCGAAUCCUGGCCGCCCGCGUGGCAGGCGAGCAUUCUACCACUGAACCACCGAUGC